rnacentral:rRNA from 1 species
CACGUAGUUAGCCGUGGCUUUCUGGUUAGGUACCGUCAAGGUACGAGCAGUUACUCUCGUACUUGUUCUUCCCUAACAACAGAGUUUUACGAUCCGAAAACCUUCAUCACUCACGCGGCGUUGCUCCGUCAGACUUUCGUCCAUUGCGGAAGAUUCCCUACUGCUGCCUCCCGUAGGAGUCUGGGCCGUGUCUCAGUCCCAGUGUGGCCGAUCACCCUCUCAGGUCGGCUACGCAUCGUUGCCUUGGUGAGCCGUUACCUCACCAACUAGCUAAUGCGCCGCGGGCCCAUCUAUAAGUGAUAGCGUAAACCAUCUUUCAGCCUUUCCUCAUGAGAGGAAAGGGAUUAUCCGGUAUUAGCUCCGGUUUCCCGAAGUUAUCCCAGUCUUAUAGGCAGGUUGCCCACGUGUUACUCACCCGUCCGCCGCUGAUAUCAGGGAGCAAGCUCCCAUCAAUCCGCUCGACUUGCAUGUAUUAGGCACGCCGCCAGCGUUCGUCCUGAGCCAGGA